rnacentral:rRNA from 1 species
UGCGAGCCGCCGCGGUAAGACGAACCGUCCAAACGUUAUUCGGAAUUACUGGGCUUAAAGGGUGCGUAGGUGGCGUUGUAAGUCAGAGGUGAAAUCCCACAGCUCAACUGUGGAAUUGCCUUUGAUACUGUAAUGCUUGAAUCAGGUUGAGGUCGGCGGAAUGUGGCAUGUAGCGGUGAAAUGCUUAGAUAUGCCAUAGAACACCAAUUGCGAAGGCAGCUGGCUAGACCUGUAUUGACGCUGAGGCACGAAAGCGUGGGGAGCGAACAGGAUUAGAUA